UGACUGUCCUUGACGUCACCUAACAGCCUCACCAGCCUCGGUCCACCACUUGUUUUGAAGGGAAAGCUAAGGGACACGUCCGGCUUACAGAGACAGGCAGGAGACGGCAGCCCGCAUGCUCCUGCUGGGCAGUGCGAUGUCCCUGUGGCUGCUCCCACCUGGCUUCCUCCUGCACACUGCCCUUGGCUGCCCUUUGGACCUUCCCUACCACAGGCACUGACUGUGUGAGGGCGGUUCCUGGGACGCUCCUGGGUUUUUCACUGUGGUCACAGCAGCGAUUACCAGAGCACUAGGUGCAGAACACUGAGGGUCAAGACCACUUCAAGCCUGGCUCUCAGAGCACCGUUCACACUGUUCCCUGACUGGAGAUGUCCACAUGAUGGCCACUUGGUCACACUCACAGUUAGCAUGGCAACCACGAGGACCAGGUUGACCAGGCCUGCGUUACCCUGGAUGUGGGGUAGGCAUGGUCCCAGGGCUUGACCACGGCUCACAGGAGACUCUUCUCUGAAUACAUCAGAUGCCCCAAGACCAUUCUGGAACUUUCUUCACUCGUGGCAUUUUCAGACACCUCUCAAUUAUUCUAGAUGACUUCACUCUGCAGACUUUCUGGAGGACUCUGCGCUUCUUCAGUCACUUCAGCUGUCCCCAUUUCAUUCUGCCAGGAGCCCUCCCUCACACAUGACUCAGCUGAGUCCGGUGCAGGACACUGCACAUGCAUACGCUCACACCUUUUGUCUAUAUAAGCAUCCAUCUUCUCAACCUUAUUGAAUCAGUCUUCCCCUUAUGCUGCAAGAAAAGUCCUAAU